rnacentral:rRNA from 1 species
AUUGAACGCUGGCGGCAGGCCUAACACAUGCAAGUCGAGCGGAUGACGGGAGCUUGCUCCUUGAUUCAGCGGCGGACGGGUGAGUAAUGCCUAGGAAUCUGCCUGGUAGUGGGGGACAACGUUUCGAAAGGAACGCUAAUACCGCAUACGUCCUACGGGAGAAAGCAGGGGACCUUCGGGCCUCGCGCUAUCAGAUGAGCCUAGGUCGGAUUAGCUAGUUGGUGGGGUAAUGGCUCACCAAGGCGACGAUCCGUAACUGGUCUGAGAGGAUGAUCAGUCACACUGGAACUGAGACACGGUCCAGACUCCUACGGGAGGCAGCAGUGGGGAAUAUUGGACAAUGGGCGAAAGCCUGAUCCAGCCAUGCCGCGUGUGUGAAGAAGGUCUUCGGAUUGUAAAGCACUUUAAGUUGGGAGGAAGGGCAGUAAGUUAAUACCUUGCUGUUUUGACAGUACCUGAAGAAUAAGCACCGGCUAACUACGUGCCAGCCGCCGCGGUAAGAC